CCCGCAACGAGCGCAACCCCUCGCAUUCAGUUGCCAUCGGUAAGGCCGGGCACUCUGGAUGGACUGCCGGCGACAAGCCGGAGGAAGGUGGGGACGACGUCAAGUCAUCAUGGCCCUUAUGUCCAGGGCGACACACGUGCUACAAUGGCCGGCACAACGGGAAGCGAAGGGGCGACCCUGAGCGGAUCCCACAAAAACCGGUCUCAGUUCGGAUUGCAGUCUGCAACUCGACUGCAUGAAGUUGGAAUCGCUAGUAAUCGUGGAUCAGCCAAGCCGCGGUGAAUACGUUCCCGGGCCUU
rnacentral:rRNA from 1 species